GACGAACGCUGGCGGCGUGCCUAAUACAUGCAAGUUGAGCGAUGAAGAUUGGUGCUUGCACCAAUUUGAAGAGCAGCGAACGGGUGAGUAACGCGUGGGGAAUCUGCCUUUGAGCGGGGGACAACAUUUGGAAACGAAUGCUAAUACCGCAUAACAACUUUAAACAUAAGUUUUAAGUUUGAAAGAUGCAAUUGCAUCACUCAAAGAUGAUCCCGCGUUGUAUUAGCUAGUUGGUGAGGUAAAGGCUCACCAAGGCGAUGAUACAUAGCCGACCUGAGAGGGUGAUCGGCCACAUUGGGACUGAGACACGGCCCAAACUCCUACGGGAGGCAGCAGUAGGGAAUCUUCGGCAAUGGACGAAAGUCUGACCGAGCAACGCCGCGUGAGUGAAGAAGGUUUUCGGAUCGUAAAACCCUGUUGGUAGAGAAGAACGUUGGUGAGAGUGGAAAGCUCAUCAAGUGACGGUAACUACCCAGAAAGGGACGGCUAACUACGUG
rnacentral:rRNA from 1 species